GACAGUGUGGGGUAGUGGAUUGAGCAUUGGACUACAGCUCUGGAGUCCAGGGUUCGAAUCCCAGAUCAGCCA